GUCUACAGCCAUGCUGUCCUGAACAAGCCCUAUCCCAUCCGACCUUAGAAGCUAAGCAGGGUCGGGCCUGGUUAGUACUUAGAUGGGAGACCACCUAUGAAAACCAGGUGCUGUAGGCA
rnacentral:rRNA from 1 species